rnacentral:ncRNA from 1 species
AAUUAAUGUAAAGCGCCAGGACUGCAGAUCAGGACGUUUUUAUCUGCAGUUGACGAGGUGGAGGUUCAUCGAGAUCAUUCGGCGGAUACCUCCCGGUUGCCGACAUUUCAACCGACUGUUUCUGUGCUAAACCGUAGAGGCGACUCUUCGUCCAACGCGCAGGGACAAAAUGUUC